rnacentral:sRNA from 1 species
GGCUCUAAUGUCCACCCGUCCCAGCAAAUCCAGGAGAAAAGGCCUCUAUCUAGUCAUUUAAGGCAACCACCACAGGAGUGAAGAUGAGGAUCCUCUCCUGAAGCCAGACGUGCCUGGAUCCUCUAUGCCAGCUCCCAGGAGAGUAGAACGCAGAAGGUUGUCAUGGAGCUGAUGUCACCCUGUCAUAUGCCCAGCCUCUGCAGCUCUCCCCGCAAGACAGUGGUCCUCUGGAGGGUCUAGAGCAUCUUAAGAGUAUAGCACCAGCAUCGUCUUGGCUUCUACCGAGAGCCUAGUGGAAGAAGAGCACAGAGGGAUGUACAGACAGAAGAGGAGACCCAAGGCCUAAAACAUCUAACUUAUUCUUACAAGAGUCUCCCUUGGACCUACUUCCAGUUGAGUGUGGAGCAGAAGGCAACAGUGUGGGAGAUCUCUGAGGAGCUGAAACUCCACCCGUAUUUCAUUGGCCAAAACUCAUGGCCCCACCAACCGGAGAGGAAGGAAGUAGAUGGCAUUCACACACCAGGAAGAACAACCAGUCUUUGCUGUGACCACACCAGACUGGUCUUUAACACUUCCUCCUGUGCACAGACUGCAGGUUACCCAACGGAACCUUCUUUCAGCUGAUCUCUCUUGGGAUCAUGAAUCCAUGGAGAAUUCACCCUUUCAUUGAGAAUGCUGUCUCUCCUCUGGUCUCUCAAUCUCUAUUGACUCAAAUCCAAAUCCCUCCCCUUUUUAUAGAUCAGUCAAGUUGAUUUUUACAGUUUGCCUGACUCUGGUCCCAGGAGUCUUUAUCCCAGGGGACUUCUUGUCCACUCCAUCGUAGCUCAGCCCUUUCUCUGGAUACGAUAGUCUGGCUGUACCAAGAGGAAAAGUUCACACUUAGUAACAACAUAGAAAGCUGUUUUGAAUUACUGGACAUUUGCUAUUUCAAUGAAAGUAGGGUUUGAAGGGGAACCAGUUAGCCGGCUAACUUAGAAUGGAGUAGAAGGAACACAGAGUGGGGGUGAGGUGGGGACGGGAGGGCGGACAUGAGGAAUCUAUAGCUAUAAUCCAGGAGAGACUGUCAAGAGCCUGAACUAGACCUGAA